UUUCGGGGUACACGAGCGGCGAACGGGUGAGUAACACGUGGGUGAUCUGCCCUGCACUCUGGGAUAAGCCUGGGAAACUGGGUCUAAUACCGGAUAUGACUGCAUGCCGCAUGGUGUGUGGUGGAAAGCUUUAUGUGGUGCAGGAUGGGCCCGCGGCCUAUCAGCUUGUUGGUGGGGUAAUGGCCUACCAAGGCGACGACGGGUAGCCGACCUGAGAGGGUGACCGGCCACACUGGGACUGAGACACGGCCCAGACUCCUACGGGAGGCAGCAGUGGGGAAUAUUGCACAAUGGGCGGAAGCCUGAUGCAGCGACGCCGCGUGAGGGAUGAAGGCCUUCGGGUUGUAAACCUCUUUCAGCAGGGACGAAGCGCAAGUGACGGUACCUGCAGAAGAAGCACCGGCUAACUACGUGCCAGCAGCCGCGGUAAUACGUAGGGUGCGAGCGUUGUCCGGAAUUACUGGGCGUAAAGAGUUCGUAGGCGGUUUGUCGCGUCGUUUGUG
rnacentral:rRNA from 1 species